rnacentral:ncRNA from 1 species
GUCCUGUAUGAAAGGAAAGAAGGUUAGCCCUCCCCUUAACAAGGAUGGAAGAGACUCUGGGCCGCAUAACAUACAUAUGGUUAAAAUGUCAGACUAUUUUAGUGGAAGUGUCUAUAAACAUUUUGUU